rnacentral:rRNA from 1 species
UACGUAGGGACCAAGCGUUGUCCGGAAUCAUUGGGCGUAAAGCGCGCGUAGGUGGCCAUUUAAGUCCGCUGUGAAAGUCAGAGGCUCAACCUUUGAAAGCCGGUGGAUACUGGAUGGCUAGAGUACGGAAGAGGCGAGUGGAAUUCCUGGUGUAGCGGUGGAAUGCGCAGAUAUCAGGAGGAACACCAAUAGCGAAGGCAGCUCGCUGGGACGUUACUGACACUGAGGCGCGACAGCGUGGGGAGCAAACAGG